ACCCUGCAGUGAGGAGGAGGGAAGAAAGGCUGCUGCUGUUCUUCUCGCAGUCUUCCAGCCCUCCCCCUGCAGCAG
ensembl:miRNA